rnacentral:rRNA from 1 species
AACGAACGCUGGCGGCAUGCCUAACACAUGCAAGUCGAACGAGACCUUCGGGUCUAGUGGCGCACGGGUGCGUAACGCGUGGGAACCUGCCCUUAGGUUCGGAAUAACUCCCCGAAAGGGGUGCUAAUACCGGAUAAUGUCUUCGGACCAAAGAUUUAUCGCCUUUGGAUGGGCCCGCGUUGGAUUAGCUAGUUGGUAGGGUAAAAGCCUACCAAGGCGACGAUCCAUAGCUGGUCUGAGAGGAUGAUCAGCCACACUGGGACUGAGACACGGCCCAGACUCCUCCGGGACGCAGCAGUGGGGAAUACUGGACAAUGCGCGAAAGCCUGAUCCAGCAAUGCCGCGUGAGUGAUGAAGGCCUUAGGGUUGUAACGCUCUUUUACCCGGGAUGAUAAUGACAGUACCGGGAGAAUAAGCCCCGGCUAACUCCGUG